rnacentral:lncRNA from 1 species
AUUGAUGCAUAAAUGUCAUGUUUGCAAAAUAAUCCCAAAAGAGUAGAAAGACAAACUCACACUAAUCGCAACACUAGAAGAAUUUAGAAACAAACUAGAGAUGCAUCAUCUUGACCAAACCGUUAAAAAUUGCAUCAUAAUCCCACCAUCAUUAGGCCAACUUGACGAUGACUCCAGUCAACUAAGAAAUCGUUGCCGAGAACCUUAAGAGACCUACCGCACCAAUAAUGCACAAAAUGUUAAGUCUCAGAUGGUCUAUCCUCCUCCUCGUCAUCAUCUCGGAUUCUAAAUUUACGAACAUCAUCAUUGUGCUUUAUCAUGAUAAAACCCUUUGAGAAUAGUUUCCAAUAAAUUUGGUGGCACUCUUAUCAUGAUAAAUCUCAUAUACACCAAAACAUGACUAAAAACUAAAACCACCGCUGCUUUCAGAUAAAACAAAGUGGACAGAACAAAAAUCAUGAAAGUGUGUGUGGAUUGAAAUUAAGGCCCUAUUUGUUUGGUGGAAGAUGUUUUUCGGAAAACAUUUUCCUUAAUUUCUGGUGUUUGUUUGGUGGAAAAUGAAUUCUUAAAGGAAUUCAUUUUCCAAACACGGGUAAAAUCAGAACCAAUUUUUAGAAAAUGUCUUACCGAUUUUUAAGCCGUAAGACAUUUUCCUUUCUUUUCUAAGCAGUGGUUCACUAUUCCUCUUUGUCCAUCAGCCUCUGCCUCAUCUCUGCCUCGUCAUCUUUGUCUCUCAGCUUCGUCUUCCUUCUUCAUCUUUCUGCUCCAUAGAUCGCUUUUUAACUCUCAGUUUUGGUGAGUCACCCAUUAAACAUAAUUUUUUUAUUUACGAUGCCAUAUGCUUCAAGUUUUUUUUUUUGGCUCAAUUAUUUCUAAAAAAUUUCACUUUCUUUUCAAUCCGAU